rnacentral:rRNA from 1 species
UACGUAGGGUGCGAGGCGUUGUCCGGAAUUACUGGGCGUAAAGAGCUCGUAGGUGGUUUGUCGCGUUGUUCGUGAAAACCGGGGGCUUAACCCUCGGCGUGCGGGCGAUACGGGCAGACUGGAGUACUGCAGGGGAGACUGGAAUUCCUGGGUGUAGCGGUGGAAUGCGCAGAUAUCAGGAGGAACACCGGUGGCGAAGGCGGGUCUCUGGGCCGAUACUGACGCUGAGGAGCGAAAGCGUGGGGAGCAAACAGG